UAUACUAUAUAUAUAUAUACAUAAUAUGUAUACAACGUAGUGGCGCGUCCAGGCGUCUCCGUGUCAUAACCAACUGCUGUCGCGGCGCUUUAUUUCGUCGACGACGACGACUAUGCGAGUCCCGCCGUGGGACUUAACCCGCAAAACGUCCUAUAACGCCGAGUCUAAGUUUUCCCGUAUCUUACGCAUUAUUAUUAUUAUUAUUACAAUUAUUUUUUUUUUUUUUAGGCGUAGGUAGUUAAACGUGUUAUAAUAACUUUUGGUGGUGCACGUUGUCUUAAUGGUCUUAACGACUCCGUUGUUAUAACGCGAUCAUUCCGAUUUCCAUUACGAUUAUUUCGACUUGAUUAUAAGCGUUUCGCCGAGCCUUUUAUUGAUUAUUUUAUCUAAUAUACAAUAUUGUUAUACCAUUUAAACCGCAGAUCGGUAUAAUGUAUUCCAGUCGAUGGUGUGCGUAUAUUAUAAUAUUGUACAUAUAGACGGAUUCGACUACGUCCGAAAGAGGGCGACUAUACAUUCACGAGUCAGUCAUGUGUUAUUCUAGCGCGAAGAGCGUGCAAUGAGUACGACCACAUAAGAUCUGGUUCGACUGCUCACGGAAGAUUACCGGAACUAAAAAUUAUAUACAAUUAAUUAUACGUCGAUAUCAUUACACGUGCGUUAUAAAUAUAACAUGUUAUCAUUAUGUUUUUAUAGGUAUAAAAAAAACAACAAAAAUGUGUAUACUUGGGUAUGAUAAAAUUAAUCAAAAUCA